AGGUGGUGCUCCUCCUCUGUCAUCACUCGAUGGCUUCAGGUCUUUUUCACCUUCAGAGCCAAGAUUACAACACAGAGUUGGAACUGGUGUCGAUGUUCCGCCACAUCAACGAGAACGAGAGUGGCUAUUACCUGAAUGAGAACAUAGAGUGCUUUCUGAGCGGGAAGACGCUCCUGGACAAUCCU